rnacentral:rRNA from 1 species
ACUCCUACGGGAGGCAGCAGUGGGGAAUCUUGCGCAAUGGGCGAAAGCCUGACGCAGCCAUGCCGCGUGAAUGAUGAAGGUCUUAGGAUUGUAAAAUUCUUUCACCGGGGACGAUAAUGACGGUACCCGGAGAAGAAGCCCCGGCUAACUUCGUGCCAGCAGCCGCGGUAAUACGAAGGGGGCUAGCGUUGCUCGGAAUUACUGGGCGUAAAGGGAGCGUAGGCGGACAUUUAAGUCAGGGGUGAAAUCCCGGGGCUCAACCUCGGAAUUACCUUUGAUACUGGGUGUCUUGAGUAUGAGAGAGGUGUGUGGAACUCCGAGUGUAGAGGUGAAAUUCGUAGAUAUUCGGAAGAACACCAGUGGCGAAGGCGACACACUGGCUCAUUACUGACGCUGAGGCUCGAAAGCGUGGGGAGCAAACAGGAUUAGAAACCCUGGUAGUCCCAUGAU